AUUUAAAAAGUAUACUAAUACAUUACUUUUAGAAAGUAAAAAACUUUAAACA
rnacentral:tRNA from 1 species